GGGCCCCCGCGUCACGUGCGUCUCCUGGCGGCGCGCCGACGCCUCGCAGCUGCGGCCAACAGAGUGAGGUCCUACGCUGUGCCGCUGUGGUGGUGUCUGCUGGUUUGCUUAGGGUCGACUAUCGCCAAUCUCAAGUCCACGACUGAGCGAUCCAGGAU